CCUAUGUGUAUCCUCAGCUUUGAGAACUGAAUUCCAUGGGUUGUGUCAGUGUCAGACCUGUGAAAUUCAGUUCUUCAGCUGGGAUAUCUCUGUCGUCGU
ensembl:miRNA